GACGAACGCUGGCGGCGUGCCUAAUACAUGCAAGUAGAACGCUGAAGGAGGAGCUUGCUCUUCUGGAUGAGUUGCGAACGGGUGAGUAACGCGUAGGUAACCUGCCUGGUAGCGGGGGAUAACUAUUGGAAACGAUAGCUAAUACCGCAUAACAGUAGAUGUUGCAUGACAUUUACUUAAAAGGUGCAAUUGCAUCACUACCAGUUGGACCUUCGUUGUAUUAGCUAGUUGGUGGGGUAACGGCUCACUAAGGCGACGAUACAUAGCCGACCUGAGAGGGUGGUCGGCCACACUGGGAGUGAGACACGGCCCAGACGCCUUCGGGAGGGAGCAAUAAGGAAACUUCGGCAAUGGACGGAAGUCUGACCGAGCAACGCCGCGUGAGGGAAGAAGGUUUUCGGAUCGGAAAGCUCGGUUGUAAGGGAAGAACGAGUGUGAGAGUGGAAAGUUCACACUGUGACGGUAUCUUACCAGAAAGGGACGGCUAACUACGUG
rnacentral:rRNA from 1 species